GGUAUAUAUAGGACUAAAGAGUUCACUCUCACUUAUAGCUGUGAGGUGGACCUUGAGACAACACGCCAGGGUCUGAUCGGAUAAUAUCUCCUGAUCUCAUCCGAAUUGCCAGUUUGUGAAAUCUAAAUAGAAGUUUCUGGAAAUACAUGGAUGUACUAUUGAUGUACUUCAGCCAACACCCAUAAUUUGAUGGUUUGUUAAGUUUCCACAGGAAUACACUCUCAGUGAAUUCAUGCUCUGUUUGUAUUCCCUUUGGUGAACCCAUUCUUUGAUUUGCACCCCUGAUGAAGUCCUAAGGGACGAAACGCGUUGGGUUUCAACGAUUGUGCGUUUUCCGUAAAAACAGUGAACUGAUCAUUCAUACUUUCUCAUGCUGAGGAAUAAGUAUUUCAUCUAAUGAUUGAAAACAUCAUGUAUAACAGACAAUCAGAAAUGAAUGUAUUGCUCAUAUGACAUAUGUGAUCUUGUGAUUCAUGUUAUAAAAGUAUACAUGUUUUUUAAUAAAUGAUUUUAUAAUUAUAUAAGUAUAUCUGUGGUGGUAAAGCUCCCCAAGAGAACUUUUGUUUUUGUCCAUUCUAUGUGCAGUACUCCUUCUGACAGGGGGUACCUCU